ACGAACUCUUGAUAAAAGUCAGGGCCUUCACCAAGACCCAUGAAAUUGAAUUUUUGGAUGCUCCUACGAGGUAGGGGCA
rnacentral:snRNA from 1 species